GAAUUCCAUGGAUUUAUUGGCCAAAUAGUCCGCAGAACUAACUAUGAUGCUUGUUCGUGGGUGGUUUCAUCCGGGGUGGCUCUCCUUGGUUAUGUAGCUUUGUUAUGCUUCUUAACUGUGGUAUAACCAUAGUUUUAAUGGUAGCUUAAACCUCCUAUGCACUAACUAGAUAGGAAUGUCAUGGAUAAAUGUGAGAUGUGUCAUCAGGUCCCCUCAUUCAUAAUUGUCAACUUCAGGUACCUGUUGAUCAUGUUG
rnacentral:misc_RNA from 1 species